UUACCACCUUUUGACAUGCCUGGACCGCCAGAGAGCUCUGGCUUUCCCUUCGGGGACUAGGACACAGGUGCUGCAUGGCUGUCGUCAGCUCGUGUUGUGAAAUGUUGGGUUAAGUCCCGCAACGAGCGCAACCCUUAUCCUUUGUUGCCAGCGGUUCGGCCGGGAACUCAACGGAGACUGCCAGUGAUAAACUGGAGGAAGGUGGGGAUGACGUCAAGUCAUCAUGGCCCUUACGAGUAGGGCUACACACGUGCUACAAUGGCAUAUACAAAGAGAAGCGACCUCGCGAGAGCAAGCGGACCUCAUAAAGUAUGUCGUAGUCCGGAUUGGAGUCUGCAACUCGACUCCAUGAAGUCGGAAUCGCUAGUAAUCGUAGAUCAGAAUGCUACGGUGAAUACGUUCCCGGGCCUUGUACACACCGCCCGUCACACCAUGGGAGUGGGUUGCAAAAGAAGUAGGUAGCUUAACCUUCGGGAGGGCGCUUACCACUUUGUGAUUCAUGACUGGGGUGAAGUCGUACAAGGUAACCGUAGGGGAACCUGCGGCUGGAUCACCUCCUU
rnacentral:rRNA from 1 species